AUAAUAUAUUUGCCGAUGAAUUUUUGCCUCACCAGCAGAAUUAUUUAAAAAUUAUUGUUCUCGUCAUCUGCCGUGACCUUGGCCUUCCCGUGCCAAAGUCACAGCCAACGGCUUUAGAGAGGAGGUCUUCUGUUUGAGCUUUAAUGGCUUCCUUCUGCUGGUGCUUUUAAUGGCGAUGACGGCUGCCUUGAGGAGAAGAGGCUUGGUGCAUGAUGGCGUUGUCUAGCCUUAGUGAUGGCCAGGUCUAUGUUCGGUUGAAUACCUACUUUAACACGGGGCUUUUUGCUUGUUGGGUCUUGGACGUUGUUCCCUGCUGGGGCUAUGGACUGCGUAUUCCAGAGUUCAGAUAAAGAACUUUCUAUCAUUGGUAGAAAAAACAAAAAUACUUGAACAAUUCCAUUAGAAAUACCCAGCAAAUAAUUGUGAUUGCAUGAGAGCAUCUUUUUCUCAAUCAUGGCGGAAAAGGUAUCUUAUUAUUUAUGUUCUUUAAAUUGGAUUUUUUUUCCUUCCUUUUGCAAAAAGUAGAUUUGAGUUGAUUUCAGCCACAUCUACUUUUUUAAGGCGUGGCAAUGCUUGCAAAAUGCUUGUACUUUUCAUAUGAUUAUUAUUAAUUUUUUUAUAU
rnacentral:misc_RNA from 1 species